rnacentral:rRNA from 1 species
UAUGCCCAUAUCAUGUUGAAACACCGGUUCUCAUAUGAUCACCAAAGUUAAGCAACAUCAAGCCUAGUCAGUACCUAGAUGAGUAACCACUUGAGAAUACCAGGUGCUGUAU